rnacentral:lncRNA from 1 species
UACCCACAAACUAUCCAUUUUUUUUCAGGUCCAGUUCGGGUCCGGAUAGGGUCCGGGUAGGGUCCAAGUCGGUUAUGGUAUAUCAGAUAUUUUGGACAGCUUUAAUACCAGGAAUAGGUAUAUGUUUAGGUAUAAGUGAGAACUAGACCAAUUUUGUGUUUAGAUAAAAAUUUGGUUGUUUCCGGUAAUAAGAAAAAUAACGUUUGGAUAGAAAAAAUGGAAUAAGAAGAAUAGUUGAUAGUUAUAAAUAGAAAAUAAUAAUAUUACCCCUCUCAUUAUAUUUGAAUUUAAAAUUUUAAAAUUUAAAAUUUAAAUAUUCAAAUUUAAAAUUUUAAAAUUUAAAAUAUCAAAUUUAAAAAUUAAACUUUAAAAUUUAGAAUUUAGAAUUUUAAUUUUUAAAUUACAAAUUUUUAAUUUUAAAAAUUUAAUUUCUAUUUUAAAAGAAAACUCUCUCUCUUUCUCUCUCUCUCUACCCGAUGGGUGGGAACAAGCUUGGUAGGAACAAGCUUGUUCCCACCUUAGCGGGUUAUCCUAGGGAUUUGGUUGAAUAGUAUAAUUUAACGGGUGAAAAUGGUCAAAUGAGUAGAUCUAAUGGCCAAAAACUUAUGAGUGUAAAAGGAUAUAUAUUCAUAAGAGUAUAGUAGCCCGACUCUCUCUCUCUCUCUCUCUCUCUCUCUCUCUCUCUCUCUCUCUCUCUCUCUAUAUAUAUAUAUAUAUAUACACACACGCUUAUUAGAGUAUCUUAUUUAAAGGUUAAAUCCGGCUUAAAUUUUACAAGUCUGAUUCAGUUAGACUUAUUUAUUUUCAAACGAGACUCCGCACCAACCAGACGUCAAAUAGUAGUAAGUAAUGCUACUAGUACAUGUAAAAAGUGAAUGUAAAUGUUAUAUCCUAUCUAUCCAAAGGCAAAUAAUUUUUUAUUGGUUUUAUCAAUUUUCUAAUAACUGAUAAAUUUUUUUUUAAAAUUUUUGAAUGAAUGAAUAUAAAUUUACAUCCUCUUACGAAUUUUUUUUAUUACUAGAUACAAAAAAUAUUAUAAUUAUAAAAAUAGUCCUUCAAAAUUUUUUUUAUAAAACUAAGUUUGUAUAGUGAAUAAAUCACCGCAUUAUAAAUAUGGUAAAUCGUUUAGCGCUUUCUUCAAAUUAUUAAAAUUAUUUUUAGUAUUUAAUGCUAUAUAUCUUUCGAAGUUCGGAUGUAGAAAAUAUAUAAAUUAGGUGAAAGCUGUAGUAUCCCUGAUGUUUGGUUGCCAGUGAGAUUUCAGCAUCUGAGACUUGUCGACACAUCUGGAGAGUGUCGGGACAAGUCGGAGUGGUUUUGGCGCGAAAUGGACGCAAAACGGACUCGACACUAGGCGACAGUGG